AUUGAACGCUGGCGGCAGGCCUAACACAUGCAAGUCGAGCGGAUGAAGGGAGCUUGCUCCUGGAUUCAGCUGCGGACGGGUGAGUAAUGCCUAGGAAUCUGCCUGGUAUUGGGGGAUAACGUCCGGUAACGGGCGCUAAUACCGCAUACGUCCUGAGGGUGAAAGUGGUGGAUCUUCGGACCUCACGCUAUCAUAUGAGCCUAGGUCGGAUUUGCUAGUUGGUUGGGUAAAGGCCUACCAAGGCGACGAUCCGUAACUGGUCUGAGAGGAUGAUCAGUCACACUGGAACUGAGAAACGGUACAGACACCAACGGGAGGCAGAAGUGGGGAAUAUUGGACAAUGGGCGAAAGACUGAAACAGCAAUGGCGCGUGUGUGAAGAAGGUCUUCGGAUUGUAAAGCACUUUAAGUUGGGAGGAAGGGAAGUAAGUUAAUACCUGGCUGUUUUGACGUAACCAACAGAAUAAGCACCGGCUAACUUCGU
rnacentral:rRNA from 1 species